GGCGCGUUGGUGUAAUUGGUCAACACGCCGCCUUCUCAAGGCGGAGAGCAUAGGUUCGAGUCCUUUACGCGCUA
rnacentral:tRNA from 1 species